UGACAGGACAAGGGGAAUAGAUUCCAGGAGAGAACAGGUUCAGAGUAGCUAUAGAGGAGGAAGUCCUCUGCUGUGAGAGUGGUGAGGCACAGGCUGCCCAGAGAAGUUUUGGAUCUGCAUCCCUGAAGUGUUCAAGGCCAGGCUGGAUGGGGCUCUGUCCAGCCUAGUCUAGUGGAAGGUGUUUCUGCUCAUAGCAGGGGGGUUGAAACGAGAUGAUCUGUAAAGUCCUUUCCAACCCAUGCCAUUCCGUGACUCUUCGAUGAAUUCUGUGUGGGGUGAGCUGUGUCGGGGGCAGGGUGAGCACAGGGCACGGUUGCUCAUGCAGUGUGUGUACCUGGCGUUAGGCGUCUGCCAGGGGCAGGCACAGAGGUUUCUCCCAAGUGAUGACUUGGAUCAGUGUUCCACACUGGGUUAUUUUUAUCCAAGGCCUGUUACUUAAUCUUGUUUCCAUGAUUGCCCACAUGCUUUUAUUUGCACGUUACGGAGAGAGUAGGAGCAUGUGGUGUGAAGGAUGACAAGUAGAAAUAGAAACUAAAGCUACAGCUUUAGAGGUAGUGAAUGAAGCUAGUUGGUAUCUCUCUUGGCAAAUAAAAAGAAAUGGAAGAGAACUAAAGAUUUUUGCUGAUGAAGUGUGAAGAUUGCAUUAGUCUGUUAUUUAAACUGCACAUUUUAUCAUUUUAGUCAUCCUUUGACCCACCAAAAUGGACUUUUACACUGAGAACAGUUCCAUAUAAACAGAACAAGUAUAAACCAGCGCUGGAAAAGCAUUCUUUAUUCACGGUGAACAAACUGACCAAAGAACCGUGUGAGCUGCCUUAUGCAGAAGAAAAUUAGUGAAGCGUUUUUGGGGUGAUGACUGCACAUUUUUACCAGUGUCAACUCCUCCGUUGAAUUUGAAUGUUUUCAGUCUGAAGAUGAACAGUAAAGGACAACACAGAUGUUGGAGACAGGAGUCCGGUCUGUUGAACAUCAUCUGCAGCAUGGGACUACAGUCUAUAUCCAAGAAGCAGGGUCCUUUCUUACAGGUGGCAAGGUGCAAAACACAUUUUCAAGUAUCUUCUUGAGCAGAUAUAGGGAACAAAGUAAAAUCAAAGAAGAAAACACUGGGAUUUUCUUAUAUAAUAUUAGUGGAUAUUAACCUUAUGUUGUCUUCUGUGUCUCUUCGUUGUAGGCACUUGUUUGGACUGGAUGCAUAUUAAAUAACCUCCGACAAUGUGUUAAGAUAGUGAUAGCGUUUAGCAGUGCCCUCUGCAGGCUUUUAUUUGGUAAGCAGAGAAAGCUGUAGCAACUCUGCUCUGUUUUGAUUAUGUGUUUGUUUAUACUGGUUGAGCUGGUUCUUUUUAUGUAUUUUGCUAGCAGAGUACCAUCUGAACUUUGGAAUUUUGUUCCCAAGCUGCUUGGAAAAAAACACAGAGUGCUGUAAGUGAUCCACUAAGUGCUACAGAAAUUACCCGCUUGUUUCAAGAGCCUAGUUUCUUAUCAGUUUGUGUGUUACAACCAUACAGCGUCCUGGGCAACAGGAAUUCAAGUUCCCAUCGCUCUUCCCCCUAGGAACUUAUUUCUGUCUGUACUGACCUGGCUAUGUCUGAAAGAAAUGGGUGAUCAAUUCAGCUUUCAGUCCUUUGUGAUCAGUGACUACACUGAAAAAAAAAUCAGCUUUUUUUUAAGGGCCUUGUGUCACAAUCAGCCAAGCUGUUACUGAGUCAGAGCCAUCCAAACAUCCCUAAAAUACAGUUAAAAGUACAGUUGAAACUGUCACUGUCAGAAGAGGCAUCAUAUUUUGAGCUGUUUCCUGUUGAAGUCCAGUGUUAAAGAAAUUAUUUUCAAAUUCUGCCUUUUUUACCUAUUUGUUAAUGAUCUGUAUGUUGCGGCUCAAAAAUAUCUUCUAGUUGCAGGACAGAACUUGGAAAUAAUUUCUGUCUUAGUAAAUUACAUGCAAAUCAAUUGCUCAUCCCAAUCAUCAUUGAUUAAAUGGUAACCAUUUCAGUACAAGAAUACAUCACAAUAAAGUAGAGCCUUUUCAUUACUGUAUUUAUGAGUAAAUUGCUGCCAUUCGUGUCUAUGCCCUUCACACCAAAGAAAAUAUGUUUUCCAAUUAUGAGGCUCAGAAAUAUGAGGACAGCUAUAUGCCAAGAGUUCUGUCUUCUAAUCUGAGACCAUGGAGUGACAUCUUUGUGGUCUCUGGGAUGUCAUCAAAGUCUUUGUUGUUAAAAUCUUACUAAGAUCUUAGUGUUAUGUGUGUAAAUUAUCUAAAGAGACAGAUUGGAACAUUUUUGUCAAGCAGAAGCUUGUACUUACUGAGCUGAAGGGGCAAAAGAUGCAAUGUCAGGACUAGCUGCUAAUAUGCAUACAAAAAAAAGUAUGAAUACUGUCAGUUAUAUUCCUAGAUGGACCUCACAAAUAUUGAAUAACAGAAAAAUAAACCCAUUAAAGAAAAA